GACGAACGCUGGCGGCGUGCCUAAUACAUGCAAGUCGAGCGAUGAUUAAAGAUAGCUUGCUAUUUUUAUGAAGAGCGGCGAACGGGUGAGUAACGCGUGGGAAAUCUGCCGAGUAGCGGGGGACAACGUUUGGAAACGAACGCUAAUACCGCAUAACAAUGAGAAUCGCAUGAUUCUUAUUUGAAAGAAGCAAUUGCUUCACUACUUGAUGAUCCCGCGUUGUAUUAGCUAGUUGGUAGUGUAAAGGACUACCAAGGCGAUGAUACAUAGCCGACCUGGGAGGGUGAUCGGCCACACUGGGACUGAGACACGGCCCAGACUCCUACGGGAGGCAGCAGUAGGGAAUCUUCGGCAAUGGGGGCAACCCUGACCGAGCAACGCCGCGUGAGUGAAGAAGGUUUUCGGAUCGUAAAACUCUGUUGUUAGAGAAGAACGUUAAGUAGAGUGGAAAAUUACUUAAGUGGCGGUAUCUAACCAGAAAGGGACGGCUAACUACGUGCCAGCAGCCGCCGCUG
rnacentral:rRNA from 1 species